AAAUGGUUUCCAACAUUUUUAAAAGAAUUUAGAUGUUAUAGAAAACUUUAGAGUUGAAACUUGCGUCAAAAGGAAUUAUUGUGUGUUACAGCCUUUUUAUCGUCCCACUGCUGGGCACAGGCCUCCUCUCACACGGAGAAGGAUUGAGCAUUAAUCACCACGCUUGCUCAAUGCGGGUUGGUGAUUUCAGACUUUAUAGUCCAGGUUUCCUCAAGAUGUUUUCCUUCACCUUUUUAUCAGCCAUUGGUGUCUAAAUAUACUUAGAAAGUACAUACAAUCUUAGAAAAGUUGCAUUGUUACUUGCCUGACCUGGGAUCGAACCCGCGCCCUCAUACUUGAGAGGUUGGUCCUUUACCCACUAGGCCACCACGACUUUUUU
rnacentral:lncRNA from 1 species